rnacentral:rRNA from 1 species
UACGUAGGGUGCAAGCGUUGUCCGGAAUUAUUGGGCGUAAAGAGCUCGUAGGCGGUUUGUCGCGUCUGCUGUGAAAACUCGGGGCUUAACCCCGGGCCUGCAGUGGGUACGGGCAGACUAGAGUGCGGUAGGGGAGAGCUGGAAUUCCUGGUGUAGCGGUGAAAUGCGCAGAUAUCAGGAGGAACACCGGUGGCGAAGGCGGGGUCUCUGGGCCGUAACUGACGCUGAGGAGCGAAAGCAUGGGGAGCGAACAGG